AGAAAUCACUUGGUCCAACUCAGCUUCAUGAUAUCAAUGAGAUCACGGGCUACCAAGUGUCCCACCUGGGGACCACACAGAGCAAGCAUCCUUGUAAUUUACAGUUAUCUUCAUCUUGAGAAGAAGAUACUACGUUUUGAGUGGGUGAAGGUCAUAAAUGAAGGAGAGUAAAGGGACCAUCUUCUCUUGCAAAUGGCAUCUUUGGGCUCUCAUGAGAUGUGUCUUCCAGAGAACAUUGUUCAUACCCAGGUG
rnacentral:lncRNA from 1 species